UUCUGGGAAGGUGAUCCGAUCAUGGGGGUGCUGCACUCUUCAGUGCUGAGCCAGUGAUGAGUUUAUAGCUAAAGAUGCGGUUAGGAGGCCCUUUCACCAGGCCAUUUCUACCUCGGAGCUAGCUGACCAUGGAGUGAAUCCUCUGAAAACCGACAGAAGUGAGGCAAGGCAGGAGCUGGCAUCGGCAAUCUGGGCUGUGCGCCUUUUAUCCUCUUGGCCUUCCCAAGAUGUUUCACUGAUUGUCUCAGGAGACCUCAGAACAAGGAGUGGGAUUGUGAUGAUUGGAUUAGUCUCAUUCAGCUCCACCUUCAGGACCAGAGAUCCCCCAGAGGAGGACACUUGAAUAAAAUAUGGAGGAAAAGGUGACUAGAUGCAAGAGAGACAGGCCUUCCGUAUGUGAUCACAUAAUUUUCAACAAGGGUACCAGGAUCAUUCAGUGGGAAAAGAAUGCCUCUUGGGAAAAUAGUUUGGAAAAACUGUUUAUUUGCCUGCACACUCUAGAUACAAAAAUCAACUCAAAGAC